UUAGCUACAGUAGACAUGGACCGGUUAUAGAGUACAUUUUAGCAACUCCAGUUGCUUUUACAAUGUGACAUUCGAAGAAGAGGUUCAGGGCAAUAUCGUCGCUCCAUUGAUAUACAAGGCCAGAAGUAGGCAGUGGGGCGUAAAUUUUGCCCGUUCCAUAGGCCACCCAUUCCCCUCCCCUUCUGAUUAUUCGAUUAUCCAUCAAACCGAAUAGCUCGUAUUCACAGCUUUCUAUCUCACUGGUUUUUUGGAGGAAACUACUUAUUGACCUUAUUUCUGAAAAGAUUUGGAAUUCAGAGACCUUAUUCACUGCCUGAGGCUUUAUGUCGCCCCUGCACCUGGGAGAAUGGGUUAUGUUGCAGCUGCUGAGAGGUGGCAUCUGUCUCUCCCUAACUGUUUCUUCUGAGGUUUACUGAACAUGUAAUAAUGGUCCUUGGAAAGCAAUUAUUGAAUACUAUGGUGGACUUGAGAGUAUUGCUAUUUUAAUUGAAUUAUGUGUUUGUUUACUUUUAACCAUGUAGUUCAGGACGUUACUCACAUCCUGAGUUUUAAGUAGUUCAGGACGUUAUGUUUGUUUAGGUUAUAAAGCUGGUUAGGCUACAUUAUCAUGAGAUGAUUCCCCUCUGAUGCUGUACUGAAGCAAGUGAAAAGCUUUUCUAGCUGUGAUGGUAAUUGAAAAGUAUAUUGUGUCAUUUUACCGUU